GCGGGCGUGUCGUAAUUGGUAGCCGAGCCAGACUUAGGAUCUGGUGCCGUAAGGCGUAAGGGUUCGAGUCCCUUCGCCCGCA
rnacentral:tRNA from 1 species